AAGUCGUAACAAGGUAACCGUAGGUGAACCUGCGGUUGGAUCAUUAGUGGUUUUUACGUAGCGCUGUUGUAGUGUUUCUGGGGGGUGUUGGUCUUUGGUUUUGUGUGUUUGUGUUUGUCUUUUUGUUUGUCUGUUUUUGUGCAUUGCCUUGUGCUGCCUUGUGCGGUGUCUUGUGCGGUGCCGUGGCAGUACAAACGGAUCGACGGCAACACUCGGACCAGACCAAAGAACCCUUGCAGACAAUAGACGUCUUUGCUUGCUUUGAUGAAACCAAAUCAAAAACAACUUUUGACAACGGAUCUCUUGGCUCUC
rnacentral:misc_RNA from 1 species